AGCGAACGCUGGCGGCAGGCCUAACACAUGCAAGUCGAACGGACCCUUCGGGGUUAGUGGCGGACGGGUGAGUAGCACGUGGGAACGUGCCUUUAGGUUCGGAAUAGCUCCUGGAAACGGGUGGUAAUGCCGAAUGUGCCCUUCGGGGGAAAGAUUUAUCGCCUUUAGAGCGGCCCGCGUCUGAUUAGCUAGUUGGUGAGGUAAUGGCUCACCAAGGCGACGAUCAGUAGCUGGUCUGAGAGGAUGACCAGCCACAUUGGGACUGAGACACGGCCCAAACUCCUACGGGAGGCAGCAGUGGGGAGUCUUGCGCAAUGGGCGAAAGCCUGACGCAGCCAUGCCGCGUGGAUGAUGAAGGUCUUAGGAUUGUAAAAUCCUUUCACCGGUGAAGAUAAUGACUGUAGCCGGAGAAGAAGCCCCGGCUAACUUCGUGCCAGCCGCCGCAGUAACAC
rnacentral:rRNA from 1 species